UGUAGUUGGUUAUUGAUAGGUCUGCUAAUUAUCUUUGACUUUGCAGUAUUGGCCUGACCCCAACGCGGAACAGAACUAAUGGAUCAGUGUUGAGAGAAUUACGUACAUCGCACAGUGACAGCCUCCGACCAGAAGGCCCCGAAUUUCAUUUCCAAAGGCUUGGAAAAGCAUCUUUCUCCU
rnacentral:lncRNA from 1 species